GGCUUGGUGGUGUAGUUGGUUAUCACGUCAGUCUAACAUGAACACUCGUUAGUUACACUGAAGGUCUCGAGUUCAAGUCUCGGCCGAGUCA